rnacentral:misc_RNA from 1 species
GAUGAAGAACGCAGCGAAAUGCGAUACUUGGUGUGAAUUGCAGGAUCCCGUGAACCAUCGAGUCUUUGAACGCAAGUUGCGCCCGAAGCCAUUAGGCCGAGGGCACGCCUGCCUGGGCGUCACACGUCGUUGCCCCCCAUCUACUCCUUCGGGAUUGCGGGGGGCGGAUGAUGGCCUCCCGUGCGCCUCGUCGCGCGGUUGGCAUAAAUGCCAAGUCCUCGGCGACGCACGCCACGACAAUCGGUGGUUGCGAAACCUCGGUUGCCCGUCGUGUGCGGUCGUCGCGCAUCGAGGGCUCGAAAAAAUUGUCGGGCUCCGGCUCGGCUUUCAACGCGACCCCAGGUCAGGCGGGGUUACCCGCUGAAUUUAAGCAUAUCAAUAAGCGGAGGA